rnacentral:tmRNA from 1 species
GGGGGUGAUUAAGGAUUCGACGAAAACAAUAAAAAGAAUAAUUGCAGGUCGGAGUUGAUCGAUGGCUCCGUAAAAAUCGAUCAUAAAAUAAAUAACAAAUCUAUUGUUCCAAUGCAUAAUAGUGUAAAACCUGUUUUAGGUUUUAAUACUUUGCAAUCAGUUGUCUAGUACAACUUCGUUUUUCCUUAAACACCUGCUAUAAGGAUAAAACGACAAGAGCAGGUUAGUUUUUAAUUCUUGAAGUACAAAUAAGUACUACUAUUAAAUAAAAUAUUAAAUAGUAGUAGUUUGUAAUGUAUGUAACUUUGUUCGAAAUAUCAUUACAAACAAAACAAAUUUUUCGAACUAAACCUGUAGAUAUUAUUCAAUUUUUUUUUCGGACGCGGGUUCGAUUCCCGCCACCUCCAUAU